rnacentral:rRNA from 1 species
AGAGUUUGAUCCUGGCUCAGGAUGAACGCUGGCGGCGUGCUUAACACAUGCAAGUCGAACGAAGCACUUGAAACAGAUUCUUCGGAUGAAGUUUCCUGUGACUGAGUGGCGGACGGGUGAGUAACGCGUGGGUAACCUGCCUCAUACAGGGGGAUAACAGUUAGAAAUGGCUGCUAAUACCGCAUAAGCGCACGGUACUGCAUGGUACAGUGUGAAAAACUCCGGUGGUAUGAGAUGGACCCGCGUUGGAUUAGCUAGUUGGCAGGGUAACGGCCUACCAAGGCGACGAUCCAUAGCCGGCCUGAGAGGGUGGACGGCCACAUUGGGACUGAGACACGGCCCAGACUCCUACGGGAGGCAGCAGUGGGGAAUAUUGCACAAUGGGGGAAACCCUGAUGCAGCGACGCCGCGUGAGCGAAGAAGUAUUUCGGUAUGUAAAGCUCUAUCAGCAGGGAAGAAAAUGACGGUACCUGACUAAGAAGCCCCGGCUAACUACGUGCCAGCAGCCGCGGUAAUACGUAGGGGGCAAGCGUUAUCCGGAUUUACUGGGUGUAAAGGGAGCGUAGACGGAAUGGCAAGUCUGAUGUGAAAGGCCGGGGCUCAACCCCGGGACUGCAUUGGAAACUGUCAAUCUAGAGUACCGGAGGGGUAAGUGGAAUUCCUAGUGUAGCGGUGAAAUGCGUAGAUAUUAGGAGGAACACCAGUGGCGAAGGCGGCUUACUGGACGGUAACUGACGUUGAGGCUCGAAAGCGUGGGGAGCAAACAGGAUUAGGUACCCUGGUAGUCCACGCCGUAAACGAUGACUGCUAGGUGUCGGGUGGCAAAGCCAUUCGGUGCCGCAGCUAACGCAAUAAGCAGUCCACCUGGGGAGUACGUUCGCAAGAAUGAAACUCAAAGGAAUUGAC